UUUAGAGUUUGANUCCCNGCUCAGGACGAACGCUGGCGGCGUGCCUAAUACAUGCAAGUCGAGCGAACAGAGAAGGAGCUUGCUCCUUCGACGUUAGCGGCGGACGGGUGAGUAACACGUGGGCAACCUACCUUAUAGUUUGGGAUAACUCCGGGAAACCGGGGCUAAUACCGAAUAAUCUGUUUCACCUCAUGGUGAAACACUGAAAGACGGUUUCGGCUGUCGCUAUAGGAUGGGCCCGCGGCGCAUUAGCUAGUUGGUGAGGUAACGGCUCACCAAGGCGACGAUGCGUAGCCGACCUGAGAGGGUGAUCGGCCACACUGGGACUGAGACACGGCCCAGACUCCUACGGGAGGCAGCAGUAGGGAAUCUUCCACAAUGGGCGAAAGCCUGAUGGAGCAACGCCGCGUGAGUGAAGAAGGAUUUCGGUUCGUAAAACUCUGUUGUAAGGGAAGAACAAGUACAGUAGUAACUGGCUGUACCUUGACGGUACCUUAUUAGAAAGCCACGGCUAACUACGUGCCAGCAGCCGCGGUAAUACGUAGGUGGCAAGCGUUGUCCGGAAUUAUUGGGCGUAAANCGCGCGCAGGUGGUUUCUUAAGUCUGAUGUGAAAGCCCACNNNUCAACCGUGGAGGGUCAUGGAAACUGGGAGNCUNNNNC
rnacentral:rRNA from 1 species